UUGAUGAUAUCGAAUCAAACGCUCCAGAUUAAUUGUUCUUUUAUUCUUUUUAUUUUAUUUUUCUCUGCGAUCUACGGAGCCAGAGAAGAGAGAGAGGGAGAGAGAGAGAGAGAGAGAGAGAGAUGGAGUUCGUAGAGAAAGGAGAAGAACCGGCGGCGCUCAUCACCACCACCGCCAUCGUUCGUUACAACCACCAGCAUCGCCAUCUCUCCCGUCCCCCAUUGCUUGUAACCACCACCAUCGCUUCUCAGAUCCGUCUUCACCAGAGUCGCCACCACCACCGUCACGCUCAUCAUAACCACAACUGAUCAGUUCUCUGUCUCUCAUUCCCUCUGUGUUUAUUUUAUUUUGUUCUUGUUACAGGAAGCUUGUUCUAAGAAAUUGCUCAAUGAUAGGCUGAAGUGAAGUUUAUGCUUUAUAUGAUUUGAUUUGAAGUUUAAAUUCGUUUUUUUUUUAAUUAUGUGUGUUGCAGAAGUCCAAGAGGGAUGAGUAUGCCAAAACUGUCUCCAAACGUUUGCAAGAUAUUGUUUAAGCUUGUCUGAUUUGUUUGUUUAGAGUGUUUGCUCAAAUUACUCAACUUUCUUAUGGUUGUUGCUGGACUUGGCAUGAUCGUUUAUGGUAUCUACUUGUUUGUCAAGUACAAGAGAGCACCCGAUGAUAACUCUCUUAAAUUCAACGGCGACGGCCAGAGUUACAUCUCUUUCGGGAGGCCCAUGCUUAGGGCAGUCUCUCUCUCUUCCAAUGUCUUUGACAAUCUCCCCAAAGUUUGGUUUAUCUACUUGUUCAUUGGGUGGCUCUGUUUGUUAUCUCUGGUGGAAGCUUGAUGAAGGUGCUCAGACUUUGAGGAAGGUGGAAGCUUGAUGGAGGUGCUCGAUGCCAUUCAAAGGAGAUAUCUUGCUUGUGUUUGAAGUGUCGAUAGUGGAUAAUGUUGUAUGCACUUGUGUGUGAUGAUUUGUAUGAAAGUGAUAAUGUGGUGUUAUGGGAUUUAAAUAAUUAUAUUGCUUUUUUGAAUUUUUAUUUAAAUUAUUUUUAUUUCA